ACCCGCCGUUGGGGCGCUGGCGAACGCCACGGUAGCCCGACGCAGAACGGCGGCAUGGUGGCUCGUCGGCGGCGGCGGCGGCGCGAGAGGCAGAGAGAGUGCGGCGCGAGAGGGAGAGAGAACGCGGCGGCGGCGCGAGAGGCAGAGAGAGUGCGGCGCGAGAGGGAGAGAGAACGCGGCGGCGGCGCGAGAGGCAGAGAGAGUGCGGCGCGAGAGGGAGAGAGAACGCGGCGGCGGCGCGAGAGGCAGAGAGAGUGCGGCGCGAGAGGGAGAGAGAACGCGGCGGCGGCGCGAGAGGCAGAGAGAGUGCGGCGCGAGAGGGAGAGAGAACGCGGCGGCGGCGCGAGAGGCAGAGAGAGUGCGGCGCGAGAGGGAGAGAGAACGCGGCGGCGGCGCGAGAGGCAGAGAGAGUGCGGCGCGAGAGGGAGAGAGAACGCGGCGGCGGCGCGAGAGGCAGAGAGAGUGCGGCGCGAGAGGGAGAGAGAACGCGGCGGCGGCGCGAGAGGCAGAGAGAGUGCGGCGCGAGAGGGAGAGAGAACGCGGCGGCGGCGCGAGAGGCAGAGAGAGUGCGGCGCGAGAGGGAGAGAGAACGCGGCGGCGGCGCGAGAGGCAGAGAGAGUGCGGCGCGAGAGGGAGAGAGAACGCGGCGGCGGCGCGAGAGGCAGAGAGAGUGCGGCGCGAGAGGGAGAGAGAACGCGGCGGCGGCGCGAGAGGCAGAGAGAGUGCGGCGCGAGAGGGAGAGAGAACGCGGCGGCGGCGCGAGAGGCAGAGAGAGUGCGGCGCGAGAGGGAGAGAGAACGCGGCGGCGGCGCGAGAGGCAGAGAGAGUGCGGCGCGAGAGGGAGAGAGAACGCGGCGGCGGCGCGAGAGGCAGAGAGAGUGCGGCGCGAGAGGGAGAGAGAACGCGGCGGCGGCGCGAGAGGCAGAGAGAGUGCGGCGCGAGAGGGAGAGAGAACGCGGCGGCGGCGCGAGAGGCAGAGAGAGUGCGGCGCGAGAGGGAGAGAGAACGCGGCGGCGGCGCGAGAGGCAGAGAGAGUGCGGCGCGAGAGGGAGAGAGAACGCGGCGGCGGCGCGAGAGGCAGAGAGAGUGCGGCGCGAGAGGGAGAGAGAACGCGGCGGCGGCGCGAGAGGCAGAGAGAGUGCGGCGCGAGAGGGAGAGAGAACGCGGCGGCGGCGCGAGAGGCAGAGAGAGUGCGGCGCGAGAGGGAGAGAGAACGCGGCGGCGGCGCGAGAGGCAGAGAGAGUGCGGCGCGAGAGGGAGAGAGAACGCGGCGGCGGCGCGAGAGGCAGAGAGAGUGCGGCGCGAGAGGGAGAGAGAACGCGGCGGCGGCGCGAGAGGCAGAGAGAGUGCGGCGCGAGAGGGAGAGAGAACGCGGCGGCGGCGCGAGAGGCAGAGAGAGUGCGGCGCGAGAGGGAGAGAGAACGCGGCGGCGGCGCGAGAGGCAGAGAGAGUGCGGCGCGAGAGGGAGAGAGAACGCGGCGGCGGCGCGAGAGGCAGAGAGAGUGCGGCGCGAGAGGGAGAGAGAACGCGGCGGCGGCGCGAGAGGCAGAGAGAGUGCGGCGCGAGAGGGAGAGAGAACGCGGCGGCGGCGCGAGAGGCAGAGAGAGUGCGGCGCGAGAGGGAGAGAGAACGCGGCGGCGGCGCGAGAGGCAGAGAGAGUGCGGCGCGAGAGGGAGAGAGAACGCGGCGGCGGCGCGAGAGGCAGAGAGAGUGCGGCGCGAGAGGGAGAGAGAACGCGGCGGCGGCGCGAGAGGCAGAGAGAGUGCGGCGCGAGAGGGAGAGAGAACGCGGCGGCGGCGCGAGAGGCAGAGAGAGUGCGGCGCGAGAGGGAGAGAGAACGCGGCGGCGGCGCGAGAGGCAGAGAGAGUGCGGCGCGAGAGGGAGAGAGAACGCGGCGGCGGCGCGAGAGGCAGAGAGAGUGCGGCGCGAGAGGGAGAGAGAACGCGGCGGCGGCGCGAGAGGCAGAGAGAGUGCGGCGCGAGAGGGAGAGAGAACGCGGCGGCGGCGCGAGAGGCAGAGAGAGUGCGGCGCGAGAGGGAGAGAGAACGCGGCGGCGGCGCGAGAGGCAGAGAGAGUGCGGCGCGAGAGGGAGAGAGAACGCGGCGGCGGCGCGAGAGGCAGAGAGAGUGCGGCGCGAGAGGGAGAGAGAACGCGGCGGCGGCGCGAGAGGCAGAGAGAGUGCGGCGCGAGAGGGAGAGAGAACGCGGCGGCGGCGCGAGAGGCAGAGAGAGUGCGGCGCGAGAGGGAGAGAGAACGCGGCGGCGGCGCGAGAGGCAGAGAGAGUGCGGCGCGAGAGGGAGAGAGAACGCGGCGGCGGCGCGAGAGGCAGAGAGAGUGCGGCGCGAGAGGGAGAGAGAACGCGGCGGCGGCGCGAGAGGCAGAGAGAGUGCGGCGCGAGAGGGAGAGAGAACGCGGCGGCGGCGCGAGAGGCAGAGAGAGUGCGGCGCGAGAGGGAGAGAGAACGCGGCGGCGGCGCGAGAGGCAGAGAGAGUGCGGCGCGAGAGGGAGAGAGAACGCGGCGGCGGCGCGAGAGGCAGAGAGAGUGCGGCGCGAGAGGGAGAGAGAACGCGGCGGCGGCGCGAGAGGCAGAGAGAGUGCGGCGCGAGAGGGAGAGAGAACGCGGCGGCGGCGCGAGAGGCAGAGAGAGUGCGGCGCGAGAGGGAGAGAGAACGCGGCGGCGGCGCGAGAGGCAGAGAGAGUGCGGCGCGAGAGGGAGAGAGAACGCGGCGGCGGCGCGAGAGGCAGAGAGAGUGCGGCGCGAGAGGGAGAGAGAACGCGGCGGCGGCGCGAGAGGCAGAGAGAGUGCGGCGCGAGAGGGAGAGAGAACGCGGCGGCGGCGCGAGAGGCAGAGAGAGUGCGGCGCGAGAGGGAGAGAGAACGCGGCGGCGGCGCGAGAGGCAGAGAGAGUGCGGCGCGAGAGGGAGAGAGAACGCGGCGGCGGCGCGAGAGGCAGAGAGAGUGCGGCGCGAGAGGGAGAGAGAACGCGGCGGCGGCGCGAGAGGCAGAGAGAGUGCGGCGCGAGAGGGAGAGAGAACGCGGCGGCGGCGCGAGAGGCAGAGAGAGUGCGGCGCGAGAGGGAGAGAGAACGCGGCGGCGGCGCGAGAGGCAGAGAGAGUGCGGCGCGAGAGGGAGAGAGAACGCGGCGGCGGCGCGAGAGGCAGAGAGAGUGCGGCGCGAGAGGGAGAGAGAACGCGGCGGCGGCGCGAGAGGCAGAGAGAGUGCGGCGCGAGAGGGAGAGAGAACGCGGCGGCGGCGCGAGAGGCAGAGAGAGUGCGGCGCGAGAGGGAGAGAGAACGCGGCGGCGGCGCGAGAGGCAGAGAGAGUGCGGCGCGAGAGGGAGAGAGAACGCGGCGGCGGCGCGAGAGGCAGAGAGAGUGCGGCGCGAGAGGGAGAGAGAACGCGGCGGCGGCGCGAGAGGCAGAGAGAGUGCGGCGCGAGAGGGAGAGAGAACGCGGCGGCGGCGCGAGAGGCAGAGAGAGUGCGGCGCGAGAGGGAGAGAGAACGCGGCGGCGGCGCGAGAGGCAGAGAGAGUGCGGCGCGAGAGGGAGAGAGAACGCGGCGGCGGCGCGAGAGGCAGAGGGAGAGAGAACGCGGCGCGAGAGGCAGGGCAGCGCGCUGCCUUUUAUGGGCGCGCGGGACGCGGUGCUGCAAAAAUGCCGCGCGGGCUGCUGCCUUUUUGCGCGCGCUAGCGGUUCCCGCGCGCGCGGUUUUCCCGCCGCCGCUGGAGCGCGCAUUUCAAUCCCGCGCGCGGUAAACUGCCGUUUUUUAGCGCGCGCCCGCCUUUUUGCGCGGCUGUUGGAGAUGUUCUAAGAGCAACUCUAGCAGAUUUAUCAUUUUUUUGGUUGCACAGAAUAAACGGGUUGAUCUGGUGAUAAUGAUCUGAGCAAAGGCAAUUACAAUUCUACUGCUCCUUCGCAUAAUGUGCUACACUCUUUUUUGUGUGUGUGUUUGAAGGUGUUUCUUAUUUAUGCUCCUGUGUUGUCUGCACUUUACCACAUCAAGUAUCAGCAAAAAGAAAAUGUCCGUGGUGUUAUAUAUGUAGUUAGUUUUGUUACAAUUGUGCAACUUAAAUACUUUGUGGUUUGCACACAUGCACAGCAAAAUACUCCAAAUCCGGUGAGGUGUGAUGAUGCUCUAUCGGAGUAUUUUAAUAGCAAGCUUCUAUAUCACAGCCCUUCUUCACAGAAGCAUCUUCAAGUCAUAUGGUAGUAUUGUUGGUGGUGUAAUUCGUACGGCCAAUCUGGUAACCAGGGCAACAUGCUUGUGAUAUACUGUUUUGAAGCAACCGAGAGUGCAUAUGAGCAUUAGAUGUUGAGAAUAAUACUUGGUCAGUAGUUUUGGUAACUAUUGAAGCUAGUUCGUCUUUACAUGUGAGCCCUUGCUAGGCUAUGUAUAAUAUAAUUCCUCUUUGUCAUCUUUGGAACUAGUUCUUGUAUUUGUAUCUCUUAUUGUUGGCAGAGCUGAUGUCUACAUGCGAUUACCAUAAUUUUUGUUGUGGAGAAAAUACUUAAGUGUUAUUAUUAGUAAAAUAUUGAUCUGAG
rnacentral:lncRNA from 1 species